UUCAAGUCACCUUAGUCUAGAGAAAAAGAAAAAAAAGAAAAAGAACAAGAACAGUAUCAAACCACCGUGAUUUUUACUCUCUAUAAUUCCUUCCAAACUUUCACCUACCAUAAUAACUGAAGAACACCCACAUCUUCAAAAUGGGGUGGCUUCACUCCUUCCUCGUCUCUCCCUUAAAGAAGUUCUGGGAUCGUCUACAUGUUGGCCGUAGAAAGCGGAGAGGGAUAUACAUUUUGUACAAGGAUGUCGAAACUUGCUCGUGUGAAGAUGUGCAAAUUCUGUGGUCAAUGGUGGUUGAGUCUCAUAACCAUUGACGCAGCUGCUUCUUUGCGAGCCAAAUGAUCAUAUAUAGAUUGGUGUGUGGUGCGGAAGUUUUUUCUGUUGUAUAUACACUGCCUGAUAUGUGAAGCAGGUGAUGACUGCGUUAUAUAUACUGGUGUAUAGAAAAUCAAAUCAACUUUUCUUUUUUGUAUAAAUUGAAUAAAUGUGAGUAUAUCAUUGUAACAUUACGUUUUUUAAAACUAAUAUAUUAUACUUUUCAUUACAA